AUAGCUGCCCUGAAAUUUAGCAAGGCUGGUUGCAACAAAAUUAACCAGAAGAAACAAAAGAAAUGUAAACAUGAAGGAUAAAUAUUCUCAAAUAUCUAAUAAACACGAACCAAAGUCAAGUCUAGUGCGCUCGCACAUAGCAAUUGUGAAGCACAGUACAAAAUUGACGACCACAUUCAGUUGUUGCAGCUCGAUAAUGAACUAAAACAAGAUAAACCAAGUCUUCUUUCAACAACUACAUAAAUCAAGAAAAGAGGGCCUGACAGACUGGAAUUCAGAAGAAUUACUGCUCCUUGGUGUAGUGUCGUACCGUAAAGGCCAAGCCCAGGAUCAAGAUGGGUACAAGGAACUGUAGGAUUUUGAUAAUGAAUUCUGGAGUCUUGUCUGGAUUGUAUGCUGUUUGUUCUGAUGGAAUAUAAGCACGUUUUAGGGGAACAGUUGACAUGUCGAUUUCCCCAAUGUAAUACUUAUCCAUCAUCUCUCUAGCAGAAUCACUGUGGCCAACAUCUUCAAAGUCAUUUGUUGCAUCCUUCCCAGUUGCUGAAAGCAAAACUUCAUCACCACCUGGAUGAUCAUCCAUGAACGGAGUGACAUCAUACACCUUUCCGCUGAUGAUGAGCCAGCAAUCUUUGGUCUUGUUGUGCUUAGCGACCUCCUCAAAUGCAUGAAUUUUCCGAUCCGACGCCAUUUUUUCCUGCUAGAGAGAGAGUUCUUUGGAUUCUGUUUCUGUCUCCGAUUGUGCACCCAACACCCUUUUUGCGACCAGCAAGUUGCCUCCCCUUUCUCCAGCACCACCCUCCCUCUUCUUUAGUCCCUUUCGUCUCCCUUUUUUUCCCCUCUUCCCUUCUCGCUCUCGUCUUCCUCGUCGCUAUUCUCUUCCUCUCCUCUUUAAAACUAGCAGCAGCCGCAACUCCGGCAGAGUUCCAUGGCCACCAACAGCUCCGGCGAAGGCGACAACAACAACUCCAACAAGUGAUGAUUAUAGCAAUUACCGACUUGCCUACAGUUUGCCGAGAUCAUCAAUCAAUUUUUAAUAAAUAGAUCUUUUCAGAUCCGUCGAGCAAGUUUUUUUCCGUUCUUUAAUGCGACUAUUAAAUUCUCUAUUGUUUGUCCUGUUGCUUUCUUAGAGUAUAUUACAUGAAAAUGUGGGAUUCAACUCCUGAUUUGAGGUCAUAGUGUUUGUCACCGUUUGUGAUUACUGGUGUUCUCCGGGUUUAAACCUCUU
rnacentral:misc_RNA from 1 species